rnacentral:rRNA from 1 species
CAGUAGCCGCGGUAAUACGUAGGGGGCAAGCGUUAUCCGGAAUUAUUGGGCGUAAAGAGUGCGUAGGUGGUCUACUAAGCGCGAGGUGAAAGGCAAUGGCUCAACCAUUGUUAGCCUUGCGAACUGGCAGACUUGAGUGCAAGAGAGGAAAGCGGAAUUCCUAGUGUAGCGGUGAAAUGCGCAGAUAUUAGGAGGAACACCGGCGGCGAAGGCGGCUUUCUGGAUUGUAACUGACACUGAGGCACGAAAGCGUGGGUAGCAAACAGGAUUAGAUACCCGGGUAGUCCCUGUCUCUUAUACC